rnacentral:misc_RNA from 1 species
GGAAGGAUCAUUAUCGAGAGCUUUGGCUCGUCGAAAAACGAGAGAGUUAAAAACGAUUGGGUCUACUGAUAGAUUCAUACGGUAAGCGCUUUGCGCGAAUCCGGUUCAGUAGACUAACAGAAUCAGACAUGCCGUAUCGCUUUGAUAGUGUAGUUGGUGAUAGCGAACCGCCAACGAGCUUUUGCACUAUCAUAGUGGUACACAGUCGUGAUCUGAUUCUCGCGACCAUGGGUUUCCGGUGGGUACCUACCUGGUAUAGUUCCGUGGCUUAUCACCCAGGCUGCGCGACCCAUGAACGAUACCAGUAAAUCGCCUUUUGGCGGUAGGUUUAAUGAGUUUCAGUGUUAUGGUAUGUGAAUAGUACCAAACGAUCGCUUGCGCACGGAAUAGUGUGCCACUGAAACCGCCCACCAACCUCCUUUUAAACUAUUUUAAUACAAAAAAUAGAUUUGGCUCGUCCAUUUCUAUAAAACACCAUUCUGAGCGGUGGAUCACUUGGCUCGUGGGUCGAUGAAGAACGCAGCUAGCUGCGUGAAUUAAUGUGAAUUGCAGACACAUUGAACAUCGACAUUUCGAACGCACAUUGCGGCUUUGGGCCAUCCCAAAGCUACGUCUGUCUGAGGGUCGCAUUUGUGACAGCAUAUGGUGUCUUACCCUGUAACGGAUCUGUUACACUGAUUCUAGACACCACAUUGGACUGCUGACGUUGUGAUUCGACGGGAGAUUUCCAUUACCGUCACUUCGACGUUACCAGUCUUGAGAAACUGACAAAGGCCAUACGACCCAUUUUAUGGCUAUAAUCGAACCCUUCGGUGCGACUCGACACUGGAGUCAGCUCUUGUUGCGUGAUUGUUUUGCGAUUAGAGCUAAAUAUAGUGUCAUUACCGAUUGUUGUUCCAAAUUCUCGACCUCAGAUCAGACGUGAGUACCCGCUGAAUUUAAGCAUAUUAUUAGGCGGAGGAAAAGAAACUAACGAGGAUUCCCAUAGUAACGGCGAGUGAACCGGGAAUAGCUCAGCGCUGAAUCUUGCAGUCCGAGACUGUCAAGAAAUGUAGCGUUUUGGUAAUCUUUUCUGGUGUCGUCAAGCUUUCUGAGUCCCCUUGAACGGGGCCACUGCCCAUAGCGGGUGCAAGGCCCAUUCGAAAGUAGACUUCACCAGUAUAAGGUAUACCAUAGAGUCGGGUUGCUUGAGAGUGCAGCUCAAAUGCGUGGUAAACUCCAUGCAAAGCUAAAUAUGACCACGAGACCGAUAGCAAACAAGUACCGUGAGGGAAAGUUGCAAAGAACUUUGAAGAGAGAGUUAAAAGGGCGUGAAACCGCUUGGAAGUAAACGGAUGGAGCUGCAAUGCAGUCUAUAGGAUUCAGUUUGUCGGACGUCCAUCGGAUUGUGAACGAUAAAGACUAAUCGAACCAUCUAGUAGCUGGUUCCCUC